rnacentral:rRNA from 1 species
UACAGGGGGGGCAAGCGUUGUUCGGAAUUACUGGGCGUAAAGGGCGCGUAGGCGGCCUCUGCAAGUCGACUGUGAAAUCUCCGGGCUUAACCCGGAAAGGUCAGCCGAUACUGCAGGGCUAGAGUGCAGAAGGGGCAACUGGAAUUCUCGGUGUAGCGGUGAAAUGCGUAGAUAUCGAGAGGAACACCUGCGGCGAAGGCGGGUUGCUGGGCUGACACUGACGCUGAGGCGCGAAAGCCAGGGGAGCAAACGGG